GGUCCGGUAGCUCAGCUGGUAGAGCAGAGGACUGAAAAUCCUCGUGUCGGCGGUUCGAGUCCGUCCCGGACCACCA
rnacentral:tRNA from 1 species